GUCUUUUUGAUUAUAAUUUAAAGUCUGACCUGCCCUAUGAUAUUUAAAUGGCCGCAGUAUUUUGACUGUGCAAAGGUAGCAUAAUCAUUAGUUUUUUAAUUGAAAGCUGGAAUGAAUGGUUGGACGAGAGAAUUACUGUCUCAAAUUAAUUUAAUUAGAAUUUUAUUUUUAAGUUAAAAAGCUUAAAUUUAUUUAAAAGACGAGAAGACCCUAUAGAGUUUUAUUUAUUAUAAAAUAUUUUUUUUUUAAUUUUAUUUAUUUUAUUAUAAAUUUUAUUGGGGUGAUAAAUAAAUUAAUUAAACUUUAUUUUUUUUAUUACAUAAAUUAAUGAUUUAUUGAUCCAUUAUUAAUGAUUAUAAGAUUAAAUUACCUUAGGGAUAACAGCGUUAUCUUUUUAGAGAGUUCAAAUCGAUAAAAAGGAUUGCGACCUCGAUGUUGGAUUAAAGUAAAUUAUUGGUGUAGAAGCUAAAAUAAUUAAGUCUGUUCGACUUUUAAAACUUUACAUGAUCUGAGUUUAAACCGGCGUGAGCCAGGUUGGUUUCUAUCUUUAAAAAAUUAAAAUAUUUUAGUACGAAAGGACCAAAUAUUUAUAAUAUUUAUUAAAUUUUGAAUAU
rnacentral:rRNA from 1 species